rnacentral:rRNA from 1 species
CCUACGGUGUGCUGCAGUGGGGAAUAUUGGACAAUGGGCGAAAGCCUGAUCCAGCCAUGCCGCGUGUGUGAAGAAGGCCUUCGGGUUGUAAAGCACUUUCAGUGGGGAAGAAAGCCUUGGGGCUAAUACCCUCGAGGAAGGACAUCACCCACAGAAGAAGCACCGGCUAACUCCGUGCCAGCAGCCGCGGUAAUACGGAGGGUGCGAGCGUAAUCGGAAUUACUGGGCGUAAAGCGCGCGUAGGCGGUCUGAUAAGCCGGUUGUGAAAGCCCCGGGCUCAACCUGGGAACGGCAUCCGGAACUGUCAGGCUAGAGUGCAGGAGAGGAAGGUAGAAUUCCCGGUGUAGCGGUGAAAUGCGUAGAGAUCGGGAGGAAUACCAGUGGCGAAGGCGGCCUUCUGGACUGACACUGACGCUGAGGUGCGAAAGCGUGGGUAGCAAACAGGAUUAGAUACCCGUGUAGUC